rnacentral:tRNA from 1 species
UGGCUCAGUCAGUAGAGCAUGAGACUCUUGAUCUCAGGGUUGUGAGUUCAAGGCCCAC